rnacentral:tRNA from 1 species
GGUUCCAUGGUCUAGUGGUUAGGACAUUGGACUCUGAAUUCAGUAACCCGAGUUCAAAUCUCGGUGGAACCU